UGUUAAGGAAUACAAGUUAAUACUAGUCAUCUGGCUAUUCAGAUACUAGUUUAAAGCAUAAACUGUUCUAUUUAAAUAAAAAAAAAAACUAAGAGGUAUAUUUGACUAAUAUAUCUAUAGGAGAACAAAUUGGCCUGGUUAUUGUUACCAAACUUAGAGAUAUUUUCAGGAUUAGGCCUAGAUUUGUUUGGCUCAGAUACAUUUAAUAGAUAAUGGUCCUCAAACCUGUCAAAGAUCUGAUGAAUAUGGCAUUUACAUUAUUUGAUAAAAAGCUUACUAUAGCAAACAGAGACUCCGAGCUCCCCAGCUCCUAGAUAUGACUCCCAAGGUCUCCAAAGAAGAUAUGGAACAAUGACAAGAAGAUGCCACCUGAAUUGCGGAUGACACCGACCACUGGGCAAGACGCUCUGACUCAACACCUGCUGCCAGGGAUGUGGCAUAGAAGAAUGGACAAAUGAGACACUGACAAGAUAAGGUCAGUCUUUCUCCUCCACAGGGAGAAUUUCACAUUAUGGGCCCAGCAGCCAAGACUGAUGCUGUCCUGACACCUGUCCUGCCAACACUAUGAAGACUAUAGGAGCCUGGGAUGAUGGCAGUCUGGGUUUCCACUUGGCUGACAGAUACAUCCAAGCAUCAUUUGCUGGUGACAACCUACUGCAAAUGACUAUGAGCCCUGAACUUGCUGAAAGCUGAUAUGGACCAAUUCAGCCGAUACGCAUACCAUCUCUUCAGCUGGUCAAUAAAACAUUCCCUCUUGUCUUUGA